AUUGAACGCUGGCGGCAUGCCUUACACAUGCAAGUCGAACGGUAACAGGUCUUCGGAUGCUGACGAGUGGCGAACGGGUGAGUAAUACAUCGGAACGUGCCUAGUAGUGGGGGAUAACUACUCGAAAGAGUGGCUAAUACCGCAUGAGAUCUACGGAUGAAAGCAGGGGAUCGCAAGACCUUGUGCUACUAGAGCGGCCGAUGGCAGAUUAGGUAGUUGGUGGGAUAAAAGCUUACCAAGCCGACGAUCUGUAGCUGGCCUGAGAGGACGAUCAGCCACACUGGGACUGAGAAACGGCCCAGACUCCUACGGGAGGCAGCAGUGGGGAAUUUUGGACAAUGGGCGCAAGCCUGAUCCAGCAAUGCCGCGUGCAGGAUGAAGGCCUUCGGGUCGUAAACUGCUUUUGUACGGAACGAAAAGCCCCGGGUUAAUACCCUGGGGUCAUGACGGUACCGUAAGAAUAAGCACCGGCUAACUACGUGCCAGCAGCCGCCGUAA
rnacentral:rRNA from 1 species